rnacentral:lncRNA from 1 species
ACAAAACCAAAUUGCUCAUUAAAAUAUAUUUAAAACGUAAAGAAUUUGUACUACAAUUAUAAUUUAGACUAAAAAUUAUCAACUGGUUAUAACAAAAUAUACAUACUAAACUAAACUAGCUAGCUCAUCAUCUGUGUCAUCAUCACUGUCUGUAUGAUGAUCAGCAAUGAUAGGUGCAUCAUCAGGCCGCUGCUGUGGGGACGGAGCUGGAGGUGCCCUAGGAGCAGAUG